rnacentral:lncRNA from 1 species
GACGACGCGGCGGCGGCGGACGCGUGGCCGCCGGUGAGCUGCACGGUGAGCUUCUCCGGCGCGUGCGCCAGCGAGUGCGUGAACUGGAUGUAGCUGAGCCCGUGGCCGAACGGGAGGAUCGUGGGGCCCGUGUAGAAGCGGUAGGUCCGGCUGGGGUACCCGCUCGCCGGGUUGGCGCGCAUCGCCAUGUUCGUCAUCGGCGCCUUCCGCAGGUAGUCCUCAGGGUACCAUGUCACCAGGAGCUUCCCGCCUGCAAACAAAUUUGAAUUGAAAUCUCAAAUUCGCCUCCUUUUCAUGCUGCGAGAUUUGCAGUUUAUUUAAAAUUUGUGACUAAGCUGAUGCACUGAUGAUGGGAGUGAACAAACACACCUGGGUUGUGGUGGCCGAAGAUGACGUCGGCGAUGGCCUGCCCGCCGGCCUGGCCGGGGUACCUGCAUAACCAGGCUUCUCUCCUGCAUAACCAAGCUCCAGCAAUGCUGGAGGUGGUGAUUGGUUGCCUGGCCAGAGCCCUUAGCCAGGCUCCGCCAAUGCAAAAGGAGCUCAUAAGCCAGGCUUACCUGUUACGCACUUCACGACCUUUCUCCGCUAGCUAGGCGCACAGCAACGUGCUCUGGUUCUCUCACCUCCCCAAUGCCUCACCUCUCCUCUCCCGUACCAUCGGCGAACCCAUCGGGUCCAACUCCUCCAUUGCCAGUUUGCUGAAUCUGCGAGUGAAGCCGCCUGUCGUGAAUCCGGAUGUUCCCGCCGCGGUCACUGAAGCUUCAGUCGGCCAUGCUUGACCUCGAAUCGAUGGCGCUGGAGCUCGAUGGGCCGUGAAGGAAGAGGGAGAACCGGAGCUGCAGCAAUUGAGCUUGCGGGAGGAGUCGGAAGAGGUGACGUCAGAUUGAUGGCGCGGGCGGCGCUCUCCUUCAUUGCACGUGCUGGAUUGACACGCAUCUGAGCUUUGGAGGACGGCAGCUGUAGCAGCAAUGGAGGCAUCUCGCGGAGCAGAGCAAUGGAGGUGGUGGAUCUCGCGGAGCCGAAGCACGGAAAGGACUCUGCGAGCCUGCUCUUCUCAUCCACGGCUGCGAUGUCCGAGGGCUUCUCCUGGCGCUGUGCUCGUGCGAAUCGAGGGACGAGAGCCAAGCUGUUUCCCAACCGUAACCUAGCCCUCGCUGCCCUCCCGUCUGGGGUGUGAGUGGGAUAUGAGCUCUGCUAUCCCAUCAACACUCCUUCAGGCUUCUCUUUCUCUAAAGUUUGGUCAAGUCAACUAAGCCGUCAAAUCCAUGGGCUUAAAAAUAUUCAGACAAUCCAUUUUUAGCUGCAUUUCUUGACUAUCUUGCCUUGUAAAAUCUCAGGAAUUGGCCAGCGACAUUUUCCAACAGAUAAAUUUCAAAAUGAAACGACCUGCUUGCACUCUGUACAUUAUUAAAAUUAAUCAUUAUCAUCCCAAGGACCAAGGUUCUCACAUAGACAGAACUUUUUUUUCUCCACAGAAACCUAGGCUAAGUUCAGAGUUUAGUGGGUCACCAACACUCUUAACAGCAGCAAGCUUCAGAGCAUGGCAAAGCCCUCGGUCAGGCAGUCACAGGUCAAGCUUGCUGGAGAGGUACCAGGAGUGCAUGGCCAGGCUGCCGAAGGACAUGAGGCUGGCAAGCGACGACACCACGUGGAUCAUCCUGAACUUCUGGUUCAUUGCUGCCAGGGUGGGGCUCCUCUUCGCCAUCUCCUUGUUCUUGGAGUUCCCGACCUCGCUGCCGAUGCCAAGGUCCUUCUCCAGCUUGUACCUCUUCAUCGUCAUCUGGGUGAAAGAGAGCAAUUCAAUACGCACAAGUGAAAAUGACAGUAUACAAACUACGAAGGGUAGUGCUCAUUGUUCAACCAACCAAAGUACAAGCAUGCAAGGCACAAUUCUUUUUUUUAAAACAAAAAUGUAUAACCCCCACCCUACUCAAAUAGCAGAACACUGUCAUUGUCGAUUUCAGCAAUCAAGAUAUCUCAAUUGUUAAGUUUGCUCUCUAAAACAACAGCCAAGUGAUGUGUACUGCAAUGAAAAACAAUCACCAACCAAAUCUCAGAAACAAUAAGAUGUAUGUUUGAAAGGUUCAGAUACGCAGUCAGGCAUUUAUCCUUGUUUUGUCAAAUUAACUGCCUUCCCACAAAAUGCAUCCACAACUAUGCUUCUAACUUCUAGCCAAGCUAAAUUUUCGCCUCCAAAUGCUAGAUUGCUGACUAUUCAAGGACUAAAUUCUGCUUUAUGCUAUCUGUAUUAAUUCUUGAAAAUAAAAUAAAGAACAAGUCAUAUUCCUGUGAACGCUGCUAGGAAUAGUACUCAGAAAUUGCUGACCUAAAUAACCAUAUAAAUAAUAAUUUACAUCAAAGUAACUUCCUUUUGCCCUACAUACCUCAACUACCGUCAGCAUAGUAAAUCUCAAAUCGCAUAGAAAAAGUGUAAGACUUGCAUUCAUUAGUCAUGAUAUUAUCACAUACUCAAGCUAUAAUUCUGUGAUAUUCUGCGUAACUAGCAUCUUGCAAAUGCAAAACAAGAGGUGCAUAAAAAGCUAAGGCCAUGAACAAAGUAUUUCACCUCAACCAUCAUAGGUGUGAUGACUAGAAGGUUUGACAGGUUACAGCCAAGGGCCAAAAGAAGGAAUCCAAGCUGGUAGCGCUCGACGGUUGAUGCUGUCUUCCAGGGGUGCAGGUAUGCGAAUGCCGCCACAGAUAUGGCUGAACAUGCUGAUAUCAACAUGAAGUACGCCGGGAACAUUUUCCCCUGCAGACUCCCAAACUGGUGCCUCGGUAAGUACCUUCAGAAUAAAAAAUAUUUUAUUAAAACAUUGUCAAAGUUUAGAAUAUGUUCUGAAUGGGAAUGGUCGACCAGCACAGUGGCACAUGGUGGUAUAUUGCUAUUGUAACAACAAUAUAUGGUAGGCUUUAGUUUUCAGGUGGACUUCUCUGUUCUCACUAUAAAUAGGUAAUAUGUAUAAUGCCUAAAAAAAGUAGAAGGUAUAAUUGAACACCUGAGCAAUAUACAUUACCUUCUAGACUCUAAGACUGCACAAACAUAUUACUCCCAAUACGUAACCAACAAACAGAGGAACAACCCCACUUGAUUGCAAAACUGCAGCAGUGGCUACCAGAACAUUCAGAAUGUAUUAUGACAAAACGGUGACAGAAUUCAUCACAGAAUCCACAAGCUUACAUUUCAUCCAAUGUUUCAUGGGAAAUCUAGCACCUAAGAGCUCUCUCCAUACAGCAUAUAUUUCUCGAGACAUCCCAAGUUCAUAAUUUUUGUGGUCCUUCCCAAAGAUUUUUUUUAGGGUCAACGGAAGGCCAAAGUCAUUGCACUUGAGUUUCAGCAAGAAAACAAGCUGGGUGGGGGUUUCUUAUCUGGUUCAGGUUUACAUUGAGCAAAAAACAGAGCACCAGGCUUCAGCAAUCUCACGAUCCUCCAUGCGGAACCGCUGGCUCCAGAGUCGCGUUUCCCAAAGAUUUCAAGGUGCAAUAUUUACUGAAGAACUACUUGAUUCCUCAGAAGUCAGAACUCUUCCCAAUUCGCCGGAGACAACGAUGAUUUGAGUCGCACCCUGCGGCAUGGCCGGAUUGACGGAUUGCCUCAUCGCAUCAGAGAAGACAGGGAGGGUCGCGCCGCCGGAGACGAUUGGAGUCGCAUCAGGAAGGAGGAGAUUCCCAUCGGAGAUCUGGAGGGCUACGCGCACCAGGAGAGGGAACGAAUCGCGUGGUGCGACCGUGUGAGGAGAAGCUCUCUCUCUCUCUCUCCCGUCUCAAAACUUCUUCGAAUUUGGGGACAGUGCUAGUGCCGUUCUCGGCGAGCGACGGGUGGAGCACGGUGAGGACGACGCGGGAGAGACAGAGAGGGACAGGGAGAUAGCGUACGAAGUGGCCGUGGAAGGGAGGAGGACGUCUCCGGCCGGCGGAAUCCAUCGCCGCAGCCGGGGAGGUAUUUUGCAGAUAGCCCCCUAAAAUGGAGAAUAUUUCCCAAACGGCAGCUAGCAACGAAGCGACCCCAAAGUUUCAGCGAACCAACGCGGCGAACGAAGCGGCAGCGUCGCCUGCUUACUUGAACAUGAUGGUGCCGCCGAUGAAGGCGACCCAGAGGCCGGCGCCCCAGGCAGUGGCGAAGGCGAGGAGGUGGACCAGCCUCGCCGCCGCCGCUGCGCCGGAGCCGGAGCCGGAGCCGGAGCCGCCGAGGCGCAGCGCGUCGGGCGCGAAGAGGACCCCCGCGGCGAGGAACGUCACCGCCGUCAGGAACCGCGACGCCCACCCCAUCGCGCGGGCCCUUGGCGCUCAGAACGGCGGCUGCUCCGUCGGGGAGGUCGUGGAGAGUGGGCGGCGAGGACUGGAGGGAGAUCUCGCGUGCGAAGUGCGAGCUGAACUGGGGAGAGGAGCUCUGAGCUUGGAAUGGAAGCGAAAGCGACGAGGAGGCAAGCGAGAAGGUUGGAACGGCCGGGGCCUCUGUCGUUGACCUUCCAGAAGAACUAUGGAACACACUUGCUGGGAAAAAAAGAAAAAAAAAUUCUGCGUCAGAUGCCACAUUGCGCCAUUGACACAUUGUCUAGGCCAGAUUUCUCUUGAAACUUCAGAGAGGAAACAAAUCCAUGGGCUUCAACUUGAAGAAAUUCAGACAGAUUCUGUUGCAAGCUCAAGCUUUUCUACAGCAAAAUUCGGUGGGCCAAGACAAAGGAAGGACCAGCACAUGAUUUUGGACCAGACAGAAGAAACAACUAAUCCGUAGACAGUGUUUCAGUCAGUAGGAGCCUAGGAGGUCUGCAAGCACAGAAGCUCUUGUCAUCUUUCCAGACUCAAACCGCAGAUCAGAGUAAUGACCGUUUUUAUCUGAAUCUCUUUGACCAGUUUACCUGGCUUGUUCAGGGUCUGUUUGGAUACAGGUUCAUAAACUGCCUGUCACAUCGGAUGUUUGGAUACUAAUUAGAAGUAUUAAUAUAGUCUAAUUACAAAACGGUUCUACAGUUAGUUUUAUAAUUAGCACAUGUUUAGUCCUUCUAAUUAGCGUCCGAACAUCCGAUGUGAUCCCUCCUAAAGUUUACUACCCCGCAUCCAAACACCCCCUCAAUCUAAGGCAAGAGUGGAAAGUGCGUGAUAUCACAAGCUUUUUAGGAGUAGUCCCGUUGCAAAGUAGUAAUCUCUAUGUGAAAUGCUUAAAUCUUGACACCAGAAAACACUGACGCUGAGAAAGAAACGACAUUCUUCUGUGUUCCUUCCAUUUUAAUCGUUUGCAAUAAUUUCAACAAAAUUUCAGUAAAUCCGGUGCCUUCUCGAACUUUUGAGAUCUCCAUCUCCACCUUUGCAGAGACAGAAGCAAGCACCGCAGCAAUCACAAUCCAAUCCAAUGACCCCUUCCCAAAACGACACAAAUUAUUCAGACACGCCUCUGAAUCCUCCUACGCUUCGUCGCUUCCUUGCGUUUCGUUCUAUACCCCGCCGAGUUGCUCGACGCCGAGAGUGACCGUGUGCGUGAGCUCGCCGAUCAUCAGGCUGUGCUCGCCGACGGGGAUCCGCCGCACGCCGUCCCGGUCCGCGACGCUCAUCCCCUCGCACACGUCCACGCCCAUCUCCACGCGCGCCACGCCGCCGGCAGGCACGUGCACCUUCUCGAACGCCACCAGCUGCCUCGCCGGCGCGCCGGGAGCGGAAGGCGGCGAGUGGUAGACGAGCACGGUGUGCGCGCCGUCCCGGUCGCCGGCGUUCCUCACGUCGACGUGCACCGGGACGGUCAGGCCCUCGCAGCGCGCGUGCGCCACGCGCACGGCGCUGGCGGAGCGCGUCGCGUUGGGGAAGGACGACGACGCGGCGGCGGCGGACGCGUGGCCGCCGGUGAGCUGCACGGUGAGCUUCUCCGGCGCGUGCGCCAGCGAGUGCGUGAACUGGGUGUAGCUGAGCCCGUGGCCGAACGGGAGGAUCGCGGGGCCCGUGUAGAAGCGGUAGGUCCGGCCGGGGUACCCGCUCGCCGGGUUGGCGCGCAUCGCCAUGUUCGUCAUCGGCGCCUUCCGCAGGUAGUCCUCAGGGUACCAUGUCACCGGGAGCUUCCCGCCUGCAAACAAAUUUGAAUUGAAAAUUCAAAUUAGACUACUUUUCUCGUUGCAAACUUUGAAGUUUAUUUAAAAUUUGUGAUUAUAUAAGCUGAUGGGAGUUAAAUAGUUAAUGUACGUACCUGGGUUAUGGUGGCCGAAGAUGACGUCGGCGAUGGCCUGCCCGCCGGCCUGGCCGGGGUACCCCACCCAGAGGAUGGCGGCGAUCCUCGGAUCGUUCUGCGCGAAGG